CUGAGAGUUUGAUCCUGGCUCAGGACGAACGCUGGCGGCGUGCCUAACACAUGCAAGUCGAGCGGAGCGAUUUUUCGGAAGUUUUCGGACGGAAGGAGGAGAGCUUAGCGGCGGACGGGUGAGUAACGCGUGGGCAAUCUGCCUUUUACAGGGGGAUAACACAGGGAAACUUGUGCUAAUACCGCAUAAAACUGUUUUGCGGCAUCGCAGAGCAGCCAAAGGAGCAAUCCGGUGAGAGAGGAGCCCGCGUCUGAUUAGCUAGUUGGUGAGGUAACGGCCCACCAAGGCGACGAUCAGUAGCCGAACUGAGAGGUUGAACGGCCACAUUGGGACUGAGACACGGCCCAGACUCCUACGGGAGGCAGCAGUGGGGAAUAUUGCGCAAUGGG
rnacentral:rRNA from 1 species